rnacentral:rRNA from 1 species
CAGGCCUAAUACAUGCAAGUCGGACGGAGUGGCGCACGGGUGCGUAACGCGUGAGCAACCUACCCAUAUCAGGGGGAUAGCCCGAAGAAAUUCGGAUUAACACCGCAUGGAUAUGGAUGGGCUCGCGUGACAUUAGCUAGUUGGUGGGGUAACGGCCCACCAAGGCGACGAUGUCUAGGGGCUCUGAGAGGAGAAUCCCCCACACUGGUACUGAGACACGGACCAGACUCCUACGGGAGGCAGCAGUAAGGAAUAUUGGUCAAUGGGGGCAACCCUGAACCAGCCAUGCCGCGUGCAGGACGACUGCCUAUGGGUUGUAAACUGCUUUUGCCAGGGAAUACGUACCUGGAGAAUAAGGAUCGGCUAACUCCGUGCCAGCAGCCGCGGUAAUACGGAGGAUCCGAGCGUUAUCCGGAUUUAUUGGGUUUAAAGGGUGCGUAGGCGGCACUUUAAGUCAGGGGUGAAAUACGGCAGCUCAACUGUCGCAGUGCCCUUGAUACUGAAGUGCUUGAAUGCGGUUGAAGACGGCGGAAUGAGACAAGUAGCGGUGAAAUGCAUAGAUAUGUCUCA